rnacentral:lncRNA from 1 species
ACUUUUAAUCAUAAACAUUUUAAAUAUCUUUCUAAAGAUCCUGAAAUGGAAGUCAUACUACCGACCCACAAAACUCAAAGAUAAGCACAGAGGAGAAGUCCAAGGAAGGCUUGAGAGCACGAUGGCAGCUGAACACAUCUGUGAACUCAAAGGCAAAGAGAUGGACAAUGAGUGAAAUGUACCAUGAGGCACAUUUGGUGCAUCAACCAGACCGAUUCAGGCACAAGGAGAUUGGGUUGGUGGAAUGAUAAGAAGUUCCACUCUUUCAAUUGGUUCUCCAGUCUUGAUGGAUUAAGAGGCAAAGGACAUUAUAAACCAAGGGACCAGUACAUGCAUGAACAAGGCCCUGGGCUGUGGGCUGAACUGCCAAGACAAUGCCAGGUAUCCUCAGUUCCUUCUACAAGUCUCCUCUGAUGUGGUUCCUGGACCCCCUGGGACGCUCACCACUUUCUUUUGGAUAUCAUCUGACAUGGCAAUGCUCCUAUUCCAGCGUAGAACUCAGCGAUCUGUAUCACAGCCCCAGGACUGUGUGAAUGGUGCAUAAGUCACAGGAACCA